rnacentral:tRNA from 1 species
UGUCAAGGGAUGGGAAUCGAACCCAGACCUUCCGCUUACCGGGCAGAUGCCAUGACCACUAGGCUACCCUGGAC